CCGGUCCCAAAUCAGGUGCAGGAAAGCUGGAUGAAAAUCCCGAGCGGGGAUUGGCGCCACACUUCAGAGGAAGAUUGGCUGCAAGACACCCUCCUGCUUAGCCUCGCCCUUGUGGCUUUCCGGGAAAAGCUUCCUUCGGGGAUGCCGUUCUUCUCUCACGAGGAAGACUCGAAGCAGCUGGGGGAAUGCCUCUGGCUCCGCGAUGUGCAACCGCCGGGGACGGUAAGCUUUCCCUCCACGCGAGUGGUUCCUUGGCUUGCUCAGGAGGACAAGGCUCCGGCGCCCCCCACUUCAGACGCGGCAGACGGUGGGAGUAGGCACUGUCGGGAGGCACGCGAGCUCUUCUUGGCAGCCGAGGGGCAAAGCCAGUGGCUGCAGCCACCCCAAGAGACCCUGGAGGCGGGAGUCGCCUCACCUGACCCUGGAGAGAAAAAGCAAGAUUUCAAUCCGAAGGUUUUAGAUUUAAAAGGAAAGCAGGAAUAUUUGGAAUACUGCUAUUUGUUACCGAAGGAAAAUAAGUACUCAGAAACUCAAGAGGAAGAAGAACAAGAAGAGUGUGAUAAGAGUGAACAAGCUGAUUGGAAGGAAAGGGAGAAUCUCACUUCUAUUUCCUUGGUUGUUAGUUGUGAAGUUGUAUCCAACCCAUCGUGACCCCAUGGACGUUCCUCCAGGACUUCCUGUCCUCUACCAUCCUCUGGAGUCCAAUUAAGUUCAUGCAUACUGCUUCAGUGACUCCAUCCAGCCACCUCAUCUCCUUCUUUUGUCCUCAAUCUUUCCGAGCAUUAGGCUCUUCUCCAGUGAGUCCUUCCUUCUCAUUAGGUGGCCGAAGUAUUUGAGUUUCAUCUUCAGGAUCUGGCCUUCUAAAGAGCAGAGUUCAUCUCUAGGACUGAACCGUUUGAUCGCCUUGCAGUCCAAGGGACUCUCAGAACUCUACUCUUUAGGUUACUUUCCAGUUACUAUCACUCUCUGAAAUUACUUUGGAACAAGUGUGAAAAUUAGGGCCUAAUGUUAUGAAGUAUCUCAGAAACAAUUCUGUAAUUUAUUUAAAAUAUAUAUGCUAGUUGAAAGCAGCAGUUUCCAAACCUACAAUUUAGUUUGAGGAAAAUGUUUUGCCUCGCAAUUCUUAUUAUACUAGAUCAAACUGUCUAGCUGCUUCUCAGAUAGUCCAAGAGAAUUUUGUAUUAGAAGUAGCUGCUACUAUUAUCCUAUUCAUAUGGGAUAUCAUUCUAAAGGCAGAAUAUGAAUUUAUGUCCCAAAUAUGGAGGUCUUUAUUAAUUAAAUGUUAUGGCCAUCUAAUUGAUAUUCAUAUAGUCAAAGCUUUGGUUAUCCCAAUAGUAAUGUAUGGCUGAGUUGGAUCAUAAAGACUGGACACCUAAGAAUUGUUUUCGAAUUGUGUUGGUGAAGACUCGAGAAUCCUUGGACUACAAGAAAUCAAUCAAUCCUAAAAGAAAUCAACCUUGACUGUUCUUUGGAAAGACAAAUACCACAAAUAUUUUGGCCAAUAAAUAAGUCAUUGGAAAAGACCCUGAUGCUGGGAAAGAUUGAAGGCAAAAGGAGACAGGGCUGGCAGAGAAUGAAAUGGAACAAGCAAGCAGCAGAGAUGUGAAUUUGACAAACUUUCAUCAGAGCCCUAUAGAUUUAGCCCAAGCUAUUAGCCAUGAUGUGAGUCUUCACGAUGCCACAGUGAUGGGAUCAGACCACACUAAUGUAACAGAUGUAGAGACGACUUUAGAGAGACUGGAGAUUUUACCCGGCUUAAAUAUAUCUCCAACAAAUGAGACCAACAUGUUAGAAUUAUUUGCAAAUGAUCAUUGCUGCACAAGUCUUACGCACCAAGAUUUCUUUUUCAGCCUGAAUGAAAAUGGAUAUGAGAAAAUACAUUUCACACCAUUAGCCAUAGAAGGAAAUUUUGACUUUGCAGAAACUUGUCAUUUUGAAGAACGAGAUUCAGAUUCUGGACUUUCUUUAGACUUAAAUUACAGUAAUGCAUCUCUUGUAUUUUCUUGUAACAAGGAUGCCAACUUUGGCACAUCAGAUGACUCAGGAGCUGUAGGAAAUAGUUGCCUACAAUAUUGCCAUACAGAAUAUCAAAGCAAUUAUGACCAUGGAACAAAAUCACUAGUAGGUAUAUUCCAUGAUCAUACAUACAACCGGGAUUUACAACAGCUGACAUUCCCAGAAUCAGAGGAUUAUUUCAGAUGGUCAGAAGAAUCCAAAAGAACUGAAAAUGAAAGUGAUAUAAAUCUAAAUGAUGAAUACCGGGCAAAAGCUCUGAGUAUUCCUUUCUCUGUUAAUGAUAUAGUGACCUUGCCUGUAGAGUCUUUUAAUAGCAUGUUAUCAAACUACUACCUAACAGAUAACCAACUGUCACUCAUUCGUGAUAUAAGACGAAGAGGAAAAAAUAAAGUUGCUGCUCAAAACUGCCGUAAACGUAAAUUAGACGCAAUUAUGAACCUGAAAGAUGAAGUGUAUCAUCUUCAGAUGCAGAUGGAAAGGCUUGAGAAACAGAAGACACAAUAUAAAAGGUCAAUUCGUAAUAUAAAACAAAAAGUGAAUGAUCUUUGCUGGAACUUUUUCAAUAAAUUGAGAGAUGACCAAGGAACAAUUAAUACAAGCCAAUGUUCCCUUCAGUAUUGUGGAAAUAGUACUAUAUUAAUUUUACCUAAAAAAGAAAUCAACCAGGAGCCCCCAAACUGAAACAAUAAGACCAACAUUUUAAAUGUUUUAAUAAUGGUGUUUAAGGAUUGCAUUUGCAAGAAGCCAGAAGAAAACAAACGUGAAUUGUAUCCCUUGUCUAAUUUUACUAUUUUAAAGAAUUUCAACCUAA